rnacentral:rRNA from 1 species
GACGAACGCUGGCGGCGUGCUUAACACAUGCAAGUCGAACGGAAAGGCCCCUUUGGGGGUACUCGAGUGGCGCACGGGUGAGUAACACGUGAGUAACCUGCCCUUGACUUCGGGAUAACUUCAGGAAACUGGGGCUAAUACCGGAUAGGAAUCCUUGCUGCAUGGUGGGGGUUGGAAAGCUUCGGCGGUUUUGGAUGGACUCGCGGCUUAUCAGCUUGUUGGUGGGGUAGUGGCUUACCAAGGCUUUGACGGGUAGCCGGCCUGAGAGGGCGACCGGCCACAUUGGGACUGAGAUACGGCCCAGACUCCUACGGGAGGCAGCAGUGGGGAAUAUUGCACAAGGGGCGGAAGCCGGAUGCAGCAACGCCGCGUGCGGGAUGACGGCCUUCGGGUUGUAAACCGCUUUCAGCAGGGGCGAAGCUUGUGGUGACGGUACCUGCAGAAGAAGCACCGGCUAACUACGUG